GAUUAACGCUGGCGGCGUGCCUAACACAUGCAAGUCGUACGCCCCGAUAGUAAUAUUGGGGAGUGGCAGACGGGUGAGUAACGCGUGGGCAACCUACCCUUGAAUGGGGAACAACCUCGAGAAAUCGAGGCUAAUACCGCAUGAUGUUCCGUUUCAUAAGGAACGGGACUAAAGGUCUUGUAAGAGACUGUUUGAGGAUGGGCCCGCGACCUAUUAGCUUGUUGGUAGGGUAACGGCCUACCAAGGCAAUGAUGGGUAGCCGGCCUGAGAGGGUGAACGGCCACACUGGGAUUGAGAUACGGCCCAGACUCCUACGGGAGGCAGCAGUGGGGAAUUUUGGACAAUGGGGGAAACCCUGAUCCAGCGACGCCGCGUGAGGGAUGAAGGCCUUCGGGUUGUAAACCUCUGUCAGAGAGGACGAAUUAGCUCCGAUUCUGUCGGAGCAGGACGGUACUCUCAAAGGAAGCCACGGCUAACUCCGUGCCAGCAGCCGCGGUAAUACGGAGGUGGCAAGCGUUAUCCGGAUUCAUUGGGCGUAAAGGGCGCGUAGGUGUCUCCAUAAGUCGGAUGUGAAAUCCUUCUGCUCAACAGAAGAAUGGCAUUCGAAACUGUGGAGAUUGAGUACAGAAGAGGAGAGUGGAAUUCCUGGUGUAGCGGUGAAAUGCGUAGAUAUCAGGAGGAACACCGGUGGCGAAGGCGACUCUCUGGUCUGAUACUGACACUGAGGCGCGAAAGCUAGGGGAGCAAACAGGAUUAGAUACCCUGGUAGUCCUAGCCAUAAACGAUGCUCACUAGGUGUGGGAGGUAUCAAUUCCUUCUGUGCCGCAGCUAACGCAUUAAGUGAGCCGCCUGGGGAGUACGACCGCAAGGUUGAAACUCAAAGGAAUUGACGGGGGCCCGCACAAGCGGUGGAGCAUGUGGUUCAAUUCGACGCUACGCGAGAAACCUUACCGGGAUUUGACAUGUACUUGCAAUCCGUCUGAAAGGACGGACCUCCUUCGGGACAAGUACACAGGUGGUGCAUGGCUGUCGUCAGCUCGUGUCGUGAGAUGUUGGGUUAAGUCCCGCAACGAGCGCAACCCCUACCCUUAGUUGCCAGCGGAUAAUGCCGGGCACUCUAAAGGAACUGCCCCGGAUAACGGGGAGGAAGGCGGGGAUGACGUCAAGUCCUCAUGCCCUUUAUGUCCCGGGCCACACACGUGCUACAAUGAUCGGUACAAAGGGUUGCUAACCCGCGAGGGGGAGCCAAUCCCAAAAAGCCGAUCUCAGUUCGGAUUGAAGGCUGCAAUUCGCCUUCAUGAAGUCGGAAUCGCUAGUAAUGGCGCAUCAGCAUGGCGCCGUGAAUACGUUCCCGGGCCUUGUACACACCGCCCGUCACACCAACCGAGUCGGGUGUACCCGAAGUCGUUAUACCAACCCUGAGAUUCGUCGAAGGGAGGAAGGCGCCUAAGGUAUGCCUGGUAAGAGGGGUGAAGUCGUAACCAAAGGUAACCCUUAAUUAAAAAAUCAC
rnacentral:rRNA from 1 species